AUUGAACGCUGGCGGCAUGCUUUACACAUGCAAGUCGAACGGUAACAGGUUAAGCUGACGAGUGGCGAACGGGUGAGUAAUGCAUCGGAACGUGCCCGAUCGUGGGGGAUAACACUUCGAAAGAAGUGCUAAUACCGCAUACGAUCUGAGGAUGAAAGCGGGGGACCGUAAGGCCUCGCGCGAUCGGAGCGGCCGAUGUCAGAUUAGGUAGUUGGUGGGGUAAAGGCUCACCAAGCCGAGGAUCUGUAGCUGGUCUGAGAGGAAGACCAGCCACACGAGGACUGAGGCACGGCCCAGACUCCUACGGGAGGCAGCAGUGGGGAAUUUUGGACAAUGGGCGCAAGCCUGAUCCAGCAAUGCCGCGUGCAGGAAGAAGGCCUUCGGGUUGUAAACUGCUUUUGUACGGAGCGAAAAGGCUCUCUCUAAUACAGGGGGCUCAUGACGGUACCGUAAGAAUAAGCACCGGCUAACUACGUGCCAGCCGCCGCGGUAA
rnacentral:rRNA from 1 species